ensembl:lncRNA
AGAUCUCUCCCCAAAGGAACUGACUUUAUUUCAACAGUGUGUGAAAGAGUACAAGCCUAAAGGUGCUCUCAAAAGCAGUGGAAGUUGUGACGUAAGGCAAUCUGAAGUUGACUGAGAGUCGCUGGGCACUCAGACGAAGCUGCAGGACAGCUAGUUUGCUGGAAAGACAUGAAGAAAGAGACGUCUUACCUUCCUCAGAAUGGACCUUCAUUGAAAAUCCGGUUCAGAUGUCAAGACAGAUACCAGACCUACAUCAACAAGGAGCUCUCCCAGCCCAGCAGAAGGAGUGAAUGUGUGAUGAUUGAAGUGUGCAGAGAGCACUAAUGGAGCAACCAAGAAGAUGACAUUUGCACAGGCCCGUGAUGAACAGACCAUCUUCUGGUUGGAAGGAAGGCAUGUGCAAAGGCAAGGUAGCUGAGAAGGCAAGAUGGACUUAGGGAAUUACAAGACAUUUCAUACGCAUCCUGUGUUCUUGUCCAGCCAAAAACUGUUAGGAAAUAAGAUGUCUGCAAAUAUCAGAUUAUGCAAGACCUGGUUAAAAUAAAAAAAUUUAAAAAAAAAAAAAGCCUUUACCUGCAAAGAAACAGGUAGCCAUGAAAUAAUAGUAAGCAAUAUUAGUGAAUGGCAUUUGCAUUUAUUAAAAUUUCUUUUUGGAAGAAAUAUGGAUGACUGGCAGGGACCAGAAUGGAGACAGAGAUAAUAAAUAUGAGACUACUGUGAUAGUCCAGGCAGAAGACAAUGAAGGCCUGAAUCAGAGCCAGCAAUGAUAGUAGAUGGAGUGAGGGGGAUAGUUUCAAAAGGAAGUGACAUGUGAGGAGAAAGGUGACCUAAAAUGUCUGCGUUCAGUGACUAGAUAGAUGGUGAUACUGUUAUCUAAGCAUUGCCUGAAGAAGGAAAAUGAACUGGAGUGAAAAAUGAUGAGAUCAACUUUGGACUUGCUGAAUUUGAAGAGUCGGCUGUAGCUGGGUGAAGCUGUCAAGUAUCAUGUUGGAUAUUUAGGAAUGUGAUCAGCACAGAGAUCUGGUCUGGAGGUGUCCAGAGAUUUGAUUCAGUUGGCAUGACCCCAAGAGGGACAGUUGAAGCCAUAGGCAUUGACGAUCCCUGUGACUGAUCCUGUCAUUUGGGUUGAAUUUCUUAAAUUCUUAAAGAUAUGAAUGCUGGCAUACAUGUAGAAAACCAAUUUAGGCUUAGAAAAUUCAUCAAAAAUAUUCAAAAUAUUAAAAUUAAACAUAUUAUCUUACAUUAACAGCAGUAAUAAUAAUUGUUUCAUAUCCAUGAAAGAGAUGAUAUUGUUUGCAUCUUUAGAAUAGGUCUAGUUUUGCAUCCUACUCUUUUGUUCAAUUAAGAAAAUCUGGCCGGGCACAGUGGCUCACUCAAAUCUGAAAUUCCAGCACUUUGGGAGGCCAAGGUAGGCGGAUCACGUGAGGUCAAGAGUUUCAGACCAGCCUGACCAACAUGGUGAAACCCUGUCUCUACUAAAAAUACAAAAGUUAGCCAGGCGUGGUGGCACGCACCUGUAAUCCCAGCUACUUGGGAAGCUGAGACAGGAGAAUCACUUGAACCUGGCAGGCAGAGGUUGCAGUGAGCUGAGAUAGCGCCAUUGCACUCCAGCCUGGACGACAGAGCAAGACUCUGUCUCAAAAAAAAAAAAAAAAAAAA